UGCGGCUCACGGUUGUAAUCUGCCAGCAAUUUCUUCCCUCCAUUGUUUGUUAUUAACUUGGCACUUUUGUGCUGCAGAAACUGCUCCUCUGUGAUUUGAUUCCACACUGACAAGGAAUACGGACAUCCCUGAGAGGGCCUGAUGGCUCUUACCUGGACAAGACCCACAUCGGAAAGCACAGGUGCCGGCAGGAGGUGUUUCUCUAGCUCAAUUCACCUCAGUGCCUGGGAGCGCAAAGGAGAGGGAUGUCUGCAGUCUGCUUUCCCCUCAAGAAUCAAAGACUAGUGCCACAGCAGGGGUCACAGGAGACUCAGCCAGAAGAAAGCCCUGAAUAACAGCCGACAGCAUGUAUCAUGCCUGGUCCACAUCGAGAGAGCAAUGAUUUGAGCGUGUCCAUCCCAUGGGGCCUGCUUGCUUUCUGAGGAGACGACACUGCGGGC